GAUGAACGCUGGCGGCGUGCCUAACACAUGCAAGUCGAACGAAAACACGAUAAGCUUUUUCUUCUACGGGUAGCGGCGGGCGGACGGGUAAGAAGUAGAUAGCCAUCUACUAAUUCUUGGAGGAUAACGGGAAAAAAGUGCCGCUACUACAGAAUAUAAUGUACCGGUUGGAUCAAGAGUGCAUGACAGCUUUCGUGACACAUUGAGAUGGAGUCGCGCCGCAUUAGCUAGUUGGUAAGGUAACGGCAUACCAAGGCGACGAUGCGUAGCCGAUCUGAGAGGAUGAUCGGCCACACUGGAACUGAGACACGGUCCAGACUCCUACGGGAGGCAGCAGUAGGGAAUAUUCGGCAAUGGGCGAAAGCCUGAUGGAGCAACGCCGCGUGGGUGAUGAAGGUCUUCGGAUCGUAAAGCUCUUUUGUUGGGAAAGAACAAAUGCGGGUGUAACUAUGGAUGUCUUGACGGUACCUAAACAAUAAGCCACGGCUAACUACGUG
rnacentral:rRNA from 1 species